GGUCAGGUAGCUCAGUCGGUAGAGCAACGGCCUGAAAAGCCGUGUGUCGUCGGUUCGAUUCCGUCCCUGACCACAA
rnacentral:tRNA from 3 species